AUCGCUUCUCGGCCUUUUGGGUAAGAUCAAGUGUAGUAUCUGUUCUUACCAAUUUAAUAUCUGAUAGAUCCUCUAUCCGAGGAUAUUAUAUUAAGUGGGUUUUUGGAGCUGGGAGAUGGAAUAGCAACUUGCUCCGUCCACCCCGCGCAUCGAUCCGGUAUAGCAUUACUCCGGGAACGGUGCCUCCCCC